GCACUGAGAGUCGUACUUGAGGUAGUGGAGUGGCCAUCAUCAUCAUUUUUAGGGGACAAGGUGUGUCUCAAGACCUUCUUGUUACCACCAUUCAACUGCAGUGCUCCGGAGGUAGUGCCAUUGGUAGUUGCAUCAACUGACAUGGAUUUCACAUGCAAUGAUCGCCUAGCAAUUGACAGAGCAGCCAACUUAGUCUGCUUGGCAGGAAGCCCACCUGCAUUUGCACCUUCAGAGCCAUUCUGGUCGGAAUUUUUCACUUCUGUCUUCUUCGGCUUCACAAAGGUUGUGCUCUUCCUCAAACUACUCGCCGGCACACUUUUGGCAGGGAAGGAGAUACUCUUAGACAGAACUGCUUUCACAUUCCCAGAUACCACUGCCUCAGCAUUCCGCGCACCUCCAUCCUUCAUCCCCUUCGUGUCCGGCAACCGAACAAGCCGUUUCGAGGCUUUGUUUCCAGCAACAGCCACAGGUUUUUCCUCUCCCGUAACUGCAGGUCCCAGACUCUCAACUUUCGGCGGCUCCUCCGGGGUCCCAUUGGCUUGCAGGACCCCGGUGUCAACGAUCUCAUUCUCCUUGUCUACGUUCAAACCUGGGCCAUUGACAAGCUCCGUCUCACCCCCAACAGCAGCCUCCAUCUCCAUAAACCUAAAACCAGCUAUCU
rnacentral:misc_RNA from 1 species